GGGCCGGUAGCUCAGUUUGGCCAGAGCACCGGACUUUUAAUCCGGGUGUCCUGGGUUCGAAUCCCAGCCGGCCCACCA
rnacentral:tRNA from 1 species